rnacentral:rRNA from 1 species
GUGUCAGCAGCCGCGGUAAUACGGAGAGUGCAAACGUUGUUCGGAUUCACUGGGCGUAAAGGGCACGUAGGCGGCCAGGCAAAUCGAUCGUGAAAUACCGACGCUCACCGUCGGUGCGGCGGUCGAAAAUACCUGGCUUGAGGAUGUGAGAGGUCGCUGGAACUUCUGGUGGAGCGGUGAAAUGCGUAGAUAUCAGAAGGAACGCCGGCGGCGAAAGCGGGCGACUGGCGCAUUCCUGACGCUGAGGUGCGAAAGCUGGGGGAGCAAACAGGAUUAGAUACCCCCGUAGUCC